CUUUAUGUAAUAAAUCCUAGCCUAAUUAAUUAACAUGACACGACUAAGAGAGUGCAGUUUUCCCCGAAAAUCAGUACGAUUGUAAAUUC